UCCGGCUUAACGCCGGCAGUCUCCCUAGAGUGCCCAACUUAAUGGUGGCAACUAAGGACGAGGGUUGCGCUCGUUGCGGGACUUAACCCAACACCUCACGGCACGAGCUGACGACAGCCAUGCAGCACCUGAACCGGCGGUCCCCGAAGGGAAGCCCUGUUUCCAGAGCGGUCAGGAACAUGUCAAGCCCAGGUAAGGUUCUUCGCGUUGCCUCGAAUUAAACCACACGCUCCGCUGCUUGUGCGGGCCCCCGCCUAUUCCUUUGAGUUUUAAUCUUGCGACCGUACUCCCCAGGCGGAUGACUUCACGCGUUAGCUGCGUUACUAAAGGAUUUAACUCCUCCAACAACUAGUCAUCAUCGUUUAGGGCGUGGACUAC
rnacentral:misc_RNA from 1 species